UACGUAGGGUGCGAGCGUUAAUCGGAAUUACUGGGCGUAAAGCGUACGCAGGCGGCUAUGCAAGACAGGUGUGAAAUCCCCGGGCUUAACCUGGGAACUGCAUUUGUGACUGCAUAGCUAGAGUUUGUCAGAGGGGGGUGGAAUUCCACGUGUAGCAGUGAAAUGCGUAGAGAUGUGGAGGAACACCGACGGCGAAGGCAGCCCCCUGGGACCUGACUGACGCUCAUGUACGAAAGCGUGGGGAGCAAACAGG
rnacentral:rRNA from 1 species